rnacentral:rRNA from 1 species
UUGGACCGGAUAUCAGGCAAGAUACCCGCGAACUAGCAUAUCAAUAAGCGGAGGA